AAUCCAAAAAUGGCUUCCAUACAACAUUGCCAAUUACAUUUCCAUUAACUAAUUCCACGAUGCAAAAUUGUAAUUACGUUACUAUGAGCAUUUACAAGCUUUUAAAAUACUGCUAUUUUUAGUAGUAAUCCAAAUCAAAGUUAGGAAACCUGCUCCGUGCCCACCGGAUGUACUGUUCCGCCAUAAAAACGGUAUAUUUGCAUCCAUUGUUCCGUUUUGGCUAAUAUCCCACCCUGUUCUG
rnacentral:lncRNA from 1 species